AUUGAACGCUGGCGGCAUGCCUAACACAUGCAAGUCGAACGAGUGGCGGACGGGUGAGUAAUGUCUGGGAAACUGCCCGAUGGCGGGGGAUAACUACUGGAAACGGUAGCUAAUACCGCAUACCAUCGGAUUUGCCCAGAUGGGAUUAGCUAGUGGGUGGGGUAACGGCUCACCUAGGCGACGAUCCCUAGCUGGUCUGAGAGGAGGACCAGCCACACUGGAACGGAGACACGGCCCAGACUCCAACGGGAGGCAGCAGUGGGGAAUAUUGGACAAUGGGCGAAAGCCUGAUGCAGCCAUGCCGCGUGUAUGAAGAAGGCCUUCGGGUUGUAAAGUACUUUCAGCGGGGAGGCGGUACCCGCAGAAGAAGCACCGGCUAACUACGUGCCAGCAGCCGCGGUAAUUC
rnacentral:rRNA from 1 species